AAGAGAAUGGGCCAUUUUUCUUCUUCUUGUCCUUGAAUCAAUGGCAGUGAAACUUGCCUGGAAAAAAAGUGGGACAAAGAACAGCUCAAAAUUUUGGACUUAGGGCAUGAGGGACUUUGCAGGCAAUAUGCCAUGAAACACCAGGUUACUACCUCAGGCUCAUCUACUUAUCCUCCUCUUACUAAUACUGAUACCUCCACAUUAUUAUUCCUCUAACUCUGCGCCAACAGGAGAUGUGAGGCUGGGAGUGUGGCAAGCAUACUGUGACCAUGAAAUGAAGGCAACAGACUACUGAUGGUAGUUCAGCGAGAAGUCCUGAAAAGCCAAGUGAGGGCUUAGACUGUGUUUAAGGGCUGCAUGGAUGCUUUCUCUUUUGAAUCAGGAACUACCAAUGUAUGCUCAGCACACCUUGCAACCAUGGAAUUCGUAACUGAGUCUUGACUGGGGUUUCUUAUAUUCUGUUGGCCACAUAGCCAUAUACUUGUUAUGUAUCCAAACCCAGUGGUGACACUCUAGGGGUUUCAGCAAGAAAAGGUUAAAGUUAUCAGUCUAUUGUUAUUGAUUAAACAAUGCUGAUAAACUGGU